GAUGAACGCUAGCGAUAGGCCUAACACAUGCAAGUCGAGGGGCAGCACGGGAGUAGCAAUACAACUGGUGGCGACCGGCGCACGGGUGAGUAACGCGUAUGUAAUCUACCUACAACAGGGGGAUAACCCGGAGAAAUCCGGACUAAUACCGCAUAAGACAGGGGUCCCGCCUGGGACUAUUUGUUAAAGAUUUAUCGGUUGUAGAUGAGCAUGCGUUCCAUUAGAUAGUUGGUAAGGUAACGGCUUACCAAGUCAGCGAUGGAUAGGGGAACUGAGAGGUUUGUCCCCCACAAGGGAGCUGAGGCACGGGCCAGACUCCUACGGGAGGCAGCAGUGAGGAAUAUUGGUCAAUGGGCGAGAGCCUGAACCAGCCAAAUCGCGUGAAGGAAGACUGCCUUAUGGGUUGUAAACUUCUUUUACAGGGGAAUAAAAAGACAUACGAGUAUGUCAUUGCAUGCACCCUGUGAAUAAGCAUCGGCUAACUCCGUGCCAGCAGCCGCCGUAA
rnacentral:rRNA from 1 species